UGGGGAAUAUUGGACAAUGGGGGGAACCCUGAUCCAGCCAUGCCGCGUGUGUGAAGAAGGCCUUAUGGUUGUAAAGCACUUUAAGCGAGGAGGAGGGUACUGGUAUUAAUACUACCAGGUACUGGACGUUACUCGCAGAAUAAGCACCGGCUAACUCUGUGCCAGCAGCCGCGGUAAUACAGAGGGUGCGAGCGUUAAUCGGAUUUACUGGGCAUAAAGCGUGCGUAGGCGGCUAAUUGAGUCGGAUGUGAAAUCCCCGGGCUUAACUUGGGAAUUGCAUUCGAUACUGGUUAGCUAGAGUGUGAGAGGGGAUGGUAGAAUUCCAGGUGUAGCGGUGAAAUGCGUAGAGAUCUGGAGGAAUACCGAUGGCGAAAGCAGCCAUCUGGCCUAACACUGACGCUGAGGUACGAAAGCAUGGGGAGCAAACAGG
rnacentral:rRNA from 1 species